AUUGAACGCUGGCGGCAGGCCUAACACAUGCAAGUCGAGCGAGUGGCGGACGGGUGAGUAAUGUAUGGGGAUCUGCCCGAUGGAGGGGGAUAACUACUGGAAACGGUGGCUAAUACCGCAUACCAUCGGAUGUGCCCAUAUGGGAUUAGCUAGUAGGUGGGGUAAAGGCUCACCUAGGCGACGAUCCCUAGCUGGUCUGAGAGGAUGAUCAGCCACACUGGAACUGCGACACGGUCCAGACUCCUACGGGAGGCAGCAGUGGGGAAUAUUGCACAAUGGGCGCAAGCCUGAUGCAGCCAUGCCGCGUGUAUGAAGAAGGCCUUCGGGUUGUAAAGUACUUUCAGCGGGGAGGCGUUACCCGCAGAAGAAGCACCGGCUAACUCCGUGCCAGCCGCCGCGGUAAUUC
rnacentral:rRNA from 1 species